GCAACAAUGCUUGCCGUCACGCUCAUCAACCAAGCGGCGAGGUGAAGCUACCGCUGCUAAAAAUCGUGUUGGAACCUUGAGGCAGUGGACAGUCCAGGGAAUUAGCAUAUAAAAUGCAGUAUGUAGCUGGCCUUGAUGUUUCAUGCUAGAGGGACAUGUAAUUGUUUAGCAACUAAGAAGCUUCAACCAUGUUUACGUGACACAGUCUGCUAAGAUCAUCUGUGAGGAGUAUCCUGGAUCAAAGUAUCAGACAUGGAAAUGCCUGCCUAUUCUUUACGCAAGAAAAUUGAUGUAUUUCUCGGAAUAUGGAUAAUUACACUUGAAGAAGCAAGGCAUGAAAAAGAGUAAUGAAUAUUCUUCCAAGCAUAUCUAUAAUUAGUACCAUGCAUGUGAUGAUGUGCUACAUAGGAUUUUUUUUUGGUGUGAAGAAUACUUCUUUUAGUAUUUCUCAUUUUAAAAAUUCACCUUUACUAAGCAUUGCAUAUAGUUUGUUGCCAUCUGUAAUUUUUAUGGCGAUCUGGCAAUGAUAGUACAAAUAUAUUCACGAGAGAUAUUGUUUCUUUUAUUUCUUUGUGGAGCCUUGCAGUGAUAUUUAUCUAUUUGUGAUAAAAUACUAACUCUGCACACUAAAUCCUGAAUGGAGUUUGUUUUAACAAAGUGUAUGUGGUUUUGACAAAAAAAGGUAAGAGUUUAUUUUAACACAGUGUAUGUGGGUUUGACAAAAAAAAAGUCAGUUUAUCAGAUCAAGAAGGAGAUGGACGAGGAAUUUGGCUUGGGACUGCUAGCUCCUCCAUAGUUCAGAUUAUGUCUUACCACGUUGACAGAGUGUAGUCUCCAUUGUGAGAGCUGACACACUGUUCCUUCCAUUUUUUAAAAGAAAUUCUACUCGGCAAUCUUUAUUUACAAAAAAUUAGCUCAAGAAGAAGAUGGAGGAGGAGCUAGCAGUCCCAAGCAAAGCAACAGGAAAAUAAAUAACCUCUAUUACUUUUUGUCAAGGCACGCAAUUGAUCCUUGGAAGACUUCCACCUAUUCAUGCACGGGCCCUUUAUUUUCUAUGACUCUGCCAACGUGGUCAAGCAUGUGUGGCCGCCGACGCAUCAUGGAUGCUCUUGUCAAAUUUCAUGAAGGUUGUGGGUGGCUUUAGUGGCUCAGCGGCCAAAAUGGUUGAAUUCAAGAACAUGGUAUGUCCCAUGGCUCCUUUCUCAAUGAUUGUAAAUACACAGUACUAUAUGCUUGCGCAAUGAGUUACGGCAAUAUGGCAGUGAAAAUGCCCGAUGAUGAAUCUUCGAGCAUGCUUGUUCGACAGGAAUCAGCCUUUUAUUAGUUAGGAUUUUAAUGAGCUGAUGUUCUUACAACAUUUCGAACAAUAUGGCCAUCAAACUACCUUAUUUUUUCUAACCAUACUGCUCACUGCCUUCUGGUUCUAGGAUUUAAGUUUGAUAUAAACAAUUCCUGAAUCACUGCCGGAUCGCUCGAAUUGAAUUCAGCCCACACCAGUUUAGCAAAAUGAUACCUUAAGGUGAGAUGUGUGGCAGUCUCAGGGACCUGGUAGCAAAGAUAAUAUUUGUCAUCAUGAUUCCAACCACGAUUCUGUAGUCUGUCAGCUGCCCAUACUAAGGAGGUUAUGGUGGAAGUCUAUGUACCACUAGUGGAAAACAGGCCAUUUGAUCCGGGUGGUAAGAGCCUUUUGUCGCGGGCGGCCAGCCGCGACAAGAGAGGCGCGACAAAAGGGUCAAGCUUUUGUCCCGGGUCGCUUACGACCCGCGACAUAAGGUCCACCACGUGGCAGCCGCGGGGCGCGCAGGGCACAGGCCCUUUUGUCGCGGACGGUAUUACCACCCACGACAAAAGGCCCUCUACGUGGCGCGCGCACAACGCUGCUGCUUUAGGGUUUGAGGGGUGCAGCACCCCUCCCCCCGCCACCGACCGCCUGUUAUUUCAUUUUUUUCGUUCGAAAAUAAAAGUUGCAUAUAUUUGUACGCUACUAGAAGUUGUACACGUUCAUUCAUUAUAUAUAUAUAUAGAUCGAUCAAACAA